CGGGUGAGGCCGCGGCGCAGGGUACGGCGCCCCCCUCAGUCUGCCAGAGCCCGGAUGCCUCAGAAAUUCGGCUCUGGGUCUGUGGGGGACGAAAUGCAACCCAGUCUCCAUUUUCCUG
rnacentral:pre_miRNA from 1 species